GGCCUGAUGGCAGAAGGGUUAUGCACCGGACUGCAAAUCCGUUUAUGCCGGUUCGAGUCCGACUCAGGCCUCCA
rnacentral:tRNA from 1 species